rfam:Candidatus Berkelbacteria bacterium CG1_02_42_45 cg1_0.2_scaffold_6847_c, whole genome shotgun sequence.
GGCGUGGUAGCCAAGUGGGAAGGCAGGGGACUGCAAAUCCUCUACGAGCGAGUUCGAUUCUCGCCCACGCCU